AGAGUUUGAUCCUGGCUCAGGAUGAACGCUGGCGGCGUGCUUAAUACAUGCAAGUCGAACGGAGACAUUAGCAAUAAUGUUUUAGUGGCGAACGGGUGAGUAACCGUUGGUGACCUGCCCCGAAGAGAGGGAUAACAGUUCGAAAGGAUUGCUAAUACCCCAUGUGGUUGUUUGGAUUAGAUGCCUUACAACUAAACGGAUUUAUUCGCUUCGGGAGGGGCCUGCGUCCCAUCAGCUAGUUGGUAAGGUAAUGGCUUACCAAGGCUAUGACGGGUAGGGGACCUGAGAGGGUGGCCCCCCACAAUGGAACUGAAACACGGUCCAUACACCUACGGGUGGCAGCAGUAGGGAAUAUUGGUUAAUGGGCGAAAGCCUGAACCAGCAACGCCGCGUGCACGAUGAAGGCCUUCGGGUUGUAAAGUGCUUUUUGAGAGGAUGAGGAAGGACAGUACUCUUAGAAUAAGCUUCGGCUAACUACGUGCCAGCAGCCGCGGUAAAACGUAGGAAGCGAGCGUUAUCCGGAUUUACUGGGCGUAAAGCGUGUGCAGGCGGUUCGGUAAGUUGGAUGUGAAAGCUCCUGGCUUAACUGGGAGAGGUCGUUCAAUACUGCCGGACUUGAGAGUGGUAGAGGGAGUUGGAAUUCCGGGUGUAGUGGUAAAAUGCGUAGAUAUCCGGAAGAACACCAGUGGCGAAAGCGGCCUCCUGGCCCAUUUCUGACGCUCAGACACGAAAGCUAAGGUAGCAAACGGGAUUAGAGACCCCGGUAGUCUUAGCUGUAAACGAUGUGAACUAGGUGUUGGGACGGUUAAUCGUCUCAUUGCCGCAGCUAACGCAUUAAGUUCUCCGCCUGGGGAGUACGGUCGCAAGAUUAAAACUCAAAGGAAUUGACGGGGGCCCGCACAAGCGGUGGAGUAUGUGGUUUAAUUCGACGCAACGCGAAGAACCUUACCUGGUCUUGACAUCCCGGGAAUCUUAGGAAACAGGGGAGUGCCCUUCGGGGAGCGUAGAGACAGGUGGUGCAUGGUUGUCGUCAGCUCGUGUCGUGAGAUGUUGGGUUAAGUCCCGCAACGAGCGCAACCCCUGUGUUUAGUUGCUAACGCGUAAUGGCGAGCACUCUAGACAGACUGCCGGUGAUAAACCGGAGGAAGGUGGGGAUGACGUCAAAUCAUCAUGCCCCUUAUGUUCUGGGCUACACACGUGCUACAAUGGCCGGUACAGACGGAAGCGAAGCCGCGAGGUGGAGCCAAUCCGAGAAAGCCGGUCUCAGUUCGGAUUGCAGGCUGCAACUCGCCUGCAUGAAGUCGGAAUCGCUAGUAAUCGCAGGUCAGCAUACUGCGGUGAAUACGUUCCCGGGCCUUGUACACACCGCCCGUCACACCAUGGGAGCCAGUAACACCCGAAGCCGGUGAGCUAACUUAACGGAGGCAGCUGUCGAAGGUGGGAUUGGUGACUGGGGUGAAGUCGUAACAAGGUAACCU
rnacentral:rRNA from 1 species